GACCUGCAUCCAAACCCACGGGAAGGGGGGAGGGAGAGGAAACGUGAGCUGUAGAACCAACAGGGGCAGUGACCUCCCGAGCAAACCCUCUGUCGGGGCCACAGACACACAUGCAGAAGACAGGAACCUGAGCAGACAGUCACUGCGUCCCUUCCGUCAGACACUGCGAUGAGCUACCAGCCCCUCUGCUGUGUGGUCCUUUGUGUCCUCGGGGCAAUCCCCAUGGACACUGCAGUUACCCAGACACCAAAACACCUGGUCGCAGCGACAGGGAGUAAUGGGACCCUGAAGUGCGAACAACGUCUGGGACAUAACGCUAUGUACUGGUACAAACAGAGUGCUCAGAGGCCACCGAAGCUCAUGUUUGCCUACAGCUAUAAGGAACUCGCCGAAAAUGACAGUGUCCCCAGUCGCUUCACACCCGAGUGCUCAGACAGCUCCCUCCUGCACCUUCACGUGGCCGCCCUACAGCCAGAGGACUCCGCCGUGUAUCUCUGUGCGAGCAGCGAGGACACAGCCCCGCACAGCCAACUGCUCCCCGUGCACAAACCUCCUGGGUGCAGCCGGGGAGCCGUGGGGGCGACCACAGCUCAGCUCCACAUCUCCGGUGGGACCCCAGACAGACAGAAACCCCAGGCCACGACGUGCCGGUCGGUUCGCUGGAUGCAGCAAGGCCCAGUUCCCCGCACAGACGCCCACAGCCUGUGGCCUGGCUCUGCCCGGGGCCGGACUGUGCCCGCGGCUGAGUGCGGGACGGAAAGGGUCCACCUCAAGUUCCUCCUGUAGCUUCCGAUCGGCACGUGGCCCCGGGGACUCUUUCAGGAGACGCGCUGCACUCUGGCCGCGGCGGCCCUGCCAAGCCUCCUGCCAACGGGUACCUUUCUCCGCCUGUUCCUUCCACCCAGGUGAGACCCUGGAUCUCAGCCCUGGUCCCAGCUCCAGACGCGCUCCGAGCCCCUUUGCAGAACACCUGCUUGCCUCACCACAGGGCCCUGUCAGUCCCUGCCACGGAGGAUAGUGGCUCCCUCGUGAGGUUCGGAUCGCUGUCCUCGAGGCCACUCUCUGCUGCACACCCGGGGACUCAGCUCUGCGCAGGCUCCUCUUCGUCUCGGGCUUUGACACUUUGAGGCUGGAUUCUUUUUCCUUCUGUCCCUUUAAUCCUAAUUCUUCAGGUCUCCACAUCCUGCGUUAUCAGCCAGAGAGCCUGAUGGCCCUGGAUCGUUGCCCGCAACAGGCAGGAAGGGGAGAAGGCCCCCAGCGUUUCAGAGCAGGACCGUAUACUCGGGGUUGUCUGUGCUGAACCCCAUAUUUUCUGGCAUCGCCCCUUGCAAUGGCCCCAGUGCUGCACACACCUUGGGACCCCAAGGGCUGAGCAGAGCCUUGUGUCCUGGGGAGUCCGAUGCCUGCACUGACACCAAGGCUCCCUCCUCUCUCCUGUAGGGGGCGCUCCAGGGGGAAGUGGGCAUUGCAGGAAAUGUAAUGCGUCAGUCAGACUGACUAGGAACCAUGGGAGCUCAGAAUUCUCCUCCUGUUUCUGAUGCCCAGAAGUCUGUUCUAGGAGAGAACUCAUUCCUUCCCAAUCCCGUCAUGGAUUCCUGGCUCUUAUGUUGGGUGAGUUUUAGUCUCUUGGAAGCAGGUGAAUCUUUGGGAAUUUCUCAUCUUGGAUUUACCUGAGGCUCUUUCAAACCAUUUCCUUAUUCAGUCUCUGGCUUCUUUCUCCUCCCUCAGGACACACAGAACCUGAAGUCAGGCAGACCCCCAGCCACCAGGUCACAGAGAUGCGGACGAGAGUAAUCCUGAGAUGUGACCCAAUCUAUGGGUUCUGUACAUUGGUACAGACAGAUCCCAGGACAGAAAGUGGAGUUUCUAGUUUUAUUCUACAAGGAUGAUCUCUUGGAGAAGUCUGAAACAAUCAAGGAUCGAUCCUCGGGUCAAAGGCCUGAUGGAUCAUUCUCCACUCUGCGGAUCCAGCCCACAGAGCUGGGAGAUUCAGCCACGUACCUCUGUGCCAGCAGCUCAGCCACAGCCUUGCACAGACACCUCCUGCCUGCACACAAACCCUCUUUGUAUGUAUCUGCCUCUUUUCCAGCUACCAGAAUGCUUUUGCUGCCCAAGAAAGUCUGAUCUGACUUGAUUUUUCAGCUGUUUCCAAAUAGAUAUCUGAAAUUUAAUCACCAAAGUAGUUUAUCUUUGGCAGGAAUGGCCAGGGAGCAUUUUUUGCCAAAUUUUUAUAGACACUACAGGGCUUGACUGUGGCCUCCAAGGAUGGGAGCGUUGUUGCCCAGGAAAAGACCAUCACAUGGCCUAUGUCUUCUCUUUACUUCCUUUUGCAUCUUGGAUUUUGUUUUGUUUUAGUAGCUUAGAAAAAAACCAUUUUAACUCAUAGAAUCAGAAAUGGUUAUCGAGGAAGGGCUUUAGUAUUUCCAUAAGAGUAUAGAGGAUUUCCAACAGUAGAUCUUCAGAAGGACGUGCAGUUCAGCAUAAGGGCCUGGACUGUCGAUGAGUGUUUCCCAGUAAGUACUUGAUGCGUUUGGGGAAAUGAUGUUAACUCACAUGAGAAUGAGUUAAGAGAACAGUAACAAUGGAGUCCGCUAUUGGGACAAGGCCAGCAGAGGUCUAAACCAGUGAGAGAACCACCAGAAUAUAGCAGGACAGGGCAGGAUCGAAUUCAGCAGCAAAAAUCAAGUAGCAUCUAGAAGCAGAGCAUGAAUGAACUUGUCACCCUGAACUUGACAUGGGGCAUCCAGAUUAACUUCCUGGGUUUUGAGUAAGAUCUCAGUGUUCUUGAAGGCCUGGAGCAGGAAAGGCAGAGUGAAGACUUCAAAAGAAAAGAAUGAAUUUCCUCAUAAUAAGUCAGGAUGAGCUCAAGCAAUGAAUAGAGGUGAAAAAAGUGUGAGCAGAUCAUAUCAGUGAUAAACACAUGAAAUAUUCAUUUACUCAAGUUAUAUCCAUGCCAACACCACCAUCUACAGGGUCUUCUACAGGGUCAUCUACAGCACCACCAUCUACAGAAUGACUUUCCCCCUGACAUGAAUCCCACCAACUUUGCAGACCAAAGGAUGCCAUUUUACAGCUAAGGAAAUGAAAUCAUGGACCUGUAGUGGUGGGAUUCAUUCUUGUUUUCAUGUACUAUGUCCUUCAGAAGCAUCUUACCUUGUAGAAAUGAAGAAAGGACCUAGUAAAGGUUUGGCUAAGGGGCUAGCUCAGAUAUAAUACCCUCAAGCUGGGGAGAUACUUUCUAGGAUGUGGUAUGACUUGUACACAAGGCUGAGAUAUGGAACUAUGUACUCAAUCCAUGAAUCCAGAAGCCAAAGGGUGGGGGGAGGAUGGGUAUCCCUCUCAUUACCACCCCUAGUGAGCCAGCUGCAAAUCCAGGCUUCUUUUCCCUGUAUUUUUAGGGUCGUCUAGAUAAAAAGUUCUGAUUCUUUAAGACAGGGAUGCUUCCACCACAGGACAUAUGAACAUAAACUAUGACGGUACCUGGUCAUUUGGGGCUCCUUUUGAUGGAAGCCCAAUAGGUAAGGAUGGAGGUAUUGAUCUUGACUAUCAUGAGGUGAUAGAGUUGCUCCUACAUAAUGGAAAUGGAAAGGUUUACCUGGAAUUCAGAGAACUAGUUCAAACAUCUCUUGGUGCCUAAAUUCCUGGUGAUAAUGACAGUUCUGCAAUUGCAACCAUUUUGGCCUGACAAAGUAAAUGUACCUAAGGGACUCAAAACCCUCAGAAACGAAUGUCUGGGUCACCCCACAAAACAAACAUCUUAGACCACAGAAGUGCUAAGCAAAGUUGGAGAAAAUCUAGAAUUGGUGAUAAGGGAGAUAAUAAAUCUCAGUAAUGGCUUUGUAUACAGUAAGAGCAGCAGUCCUAUACCCCUAACCCUGUAUUUGUACAGAUUGCAGCUGAACCCCACCUUGAAGACCUUAUUAUUUGGACUUGAAACAAUGCAGGGCGUAGACUAUUUGAAAUGCCUCGAUUGUAUCACCACCUGUCUUCCUGGCUCCCCCCCCGAUUCCAGCCACAACUAUUUCAUGCAGCUAUUCCAAGCAGACAUUGACCCUUUCAUAUUGAUUGAACCUCCUCUUAAAUAUGGGCAGUGUAUCUAGCUUUCUUCCUGAAGUGCUCUGUGGCUGUGGUUGAGACACAUGAAUGGCCUACUAGAAGCUUAUACAUGCACGACCCAGAAGUGUCAGGGUGUUAAUGCUCUAGGGGACAAUCCUCAACCAAUGGGGGGAUAAGAACGAAUAAAUAAAGCUUUGUGUCUGUCUCAGACUCCCUAGAAAGUUCUAGAUUGACGAGCAGCCAUUUAUCUAUAAUGAUGGCCCAAUUAAUAUACAUAUUUUUCAUAUUGUC